UACAGAGGGUGCGAGCGUUGUCCGGAAUCACUGGGCGUAAAGGGCGCGUAGGUGGCCCGACAAGUCACUGGUGAAAGCUCGACGCUCAACGUCGAGUCGGCCAGUGAUACUGUUGGGCUGGAGCACUGUAGAGGCUCAUGGAAUUCCGGGUGUAGCGGUGGAAUGCGUAGAGAUCCGGAAGAACACCGGUGGCGAAGGCGGUGACCUGGGUAGAUACUGACGCUGAGGCGCGAAAGCGUGGGGAGCAAACAGG
rnacentral:rRNA from 1 species